CCCCCCCCCCGCCCCACAGUGGUCCUGUUUGCUGCCCAGACAUUGCACCUGCCAGUCUUCGGUGCAGCCAGUUGUAGCAGAUGAUCAAAGCAACCAGGGGUCCAAGAACAGGGACAAUAACAAACAGUGUUAUCUUCCAGCAGGGCACUCUCAGGAAGUGAGGAUCUGAAUGGUAAAGCAGAACAGAGUGUUUCCCUCUAUGCCACAGCCGCUCAUGCCACACCCACUUGAAGCCUCCAAAGCCAGGACAAGCUGUAGAGUCCAUGAAUGUAGAUGAGGUACAUUGUGCGCCUUGCUUUUACUUCCUUUAGCUUCUGAUUGAAUUUAGCUGUAUCUUUUUAACCGAUUUAUCGUAGAAGACAAUGGGUGGUGUGACCCUUUCAUGCUUUGUUGAUCUUCAGCCACACGCUGUCCCUCCCUCGCCCCCACUUCUAGCAUUUGUGUGUGUGCGCGUGUUUUUUGAAGAGGGGUUCUUGCUUGUACAAUCCCUGGCUGGCCUUGAACUUGAGAAGUCCUCCUGCCUCCGCCUUCCAGGUGCUGGGAUUACAAGUUGUCAACCCUGCUUUCACUAAUGUUUCCUUUUUAUUAAAGAUUUAUUUAUUAUUUA
rnacentral:lncRNA from 1 species